ACAAACGUAAAAAUCUGUUCAGGGAGUCAAGUCAACAGAAGAAACAAGAGAGAGAAGGUCAUCAUGCUGAUACGCAUGACAAGACCAGGACAUCACACAUUUCAAUAACCACAGAUGAAGGUUCGACUGCAGAAAAUGAAGAUGUAGCUGAUUCUGAAACUGUGGGUUCAACAUCCAGGCAGAUUUUGCAGCAUGAUGAGAGCUCCAAGAGAUUUGUUGGAAGUAGUGGUUUAGCUGAGGUUCAUAAGGAGCUUCGCAGUGUUCCUGGUUCAAGUGGUGUAGAAUUAAUAGGACAAAGAAGGUUUACUAUUUCUUCAGAGAAGGAUGUUAAGUUUGGGAAUAUACCAUAUACUAUCCCAUUCCAAGGCCAAUCAAUAAACAUCAUGAACCUGCCUUACUCUAUGCCUCUGAAUUCUAACACUGUUAGUACGACAAGUACGACUAGUUACCCAGUUCCUGGCAUGAUGCAAGUGAUGGCUACCACAAGUGGAGAUAGACCGGGAAGCCAGCCUAUCAUACCUGCAAACUUGCCAUUAAUGUUUGGCUACUCUUCUGUACAGCAACAAGUACGACUAGUUACCCAAUUCCUGGCAUGAUUCAAGUGAUGGCUACCACAAGUGGAGAUAGACCAGGAAGCCAGCCUGUCAUACCUGCAAACUUGCCAUUAAUGUUUGGCUACUCUUCUGUACAGCUUCCAACAUUGGACAAGGAUAACCAACGCGGUGUGGCUUCUCAUCUUCAACAGCUUCACCCUUCCCAUGGAAGAGGCCCUCUGGGCUCAGAUAUGCAGAAUGAUGG
rnacentral:lncRNA from 1 species